rnacentral:rRNA from 1 species
UACGGAGGGGACUAGCGUUGUUCGGAAUUACUGGGCGUAAAGCGCGUGUAGGCGGUCCGGUAAGUCCGCUGUGAAAGUCGGGGGCUCAACCCUCGGAUGCCGGUGGAUACUGUCGGGCUUGAGUACGGAAGAGGCGAGUGGAAUUCCUGGUGUAGCGGUGAAAUGCGCAGAUAUCUGGAGGAACACCGGUGGCGAAGGUGGCAUCCUGGACCGGCAUUGACGCUGAGGCGCGAAGGCGUGGGGAGCAAACGGGG